AUAGCCAGCACCUUAUGGUAUAAAUCAACACAGAAUGACCUCACUUUGUUGUAUAGAAAGUCUCAUUAGUAAGGAAGUAUAGAUGAGUUUUCUGAGUCAAGACCUAUAGUGACUGUUUGGGGUUUUGUUAGGUUAAGUUUAGGGUAUCUUCAAACACAUGAUAGCCAGCACCUUAUGGUAUAAAUCAACAAAGAAUGACCUCACUUUGUUGUAUAGAAAGUCUCAUUAGUAAGGAAGCAUAUAUGAAUUUUCUGAGUCAAGACCUAUAGUGACUGUUUGGGGUUUUGUUAGGUUAGGUUAGGUUAAGUUUAGGGUAUCUUCAAACACAUGACAGCCAGCACCUUAUGGUAUAAAUCAACACAGAAUGACCUCACUUUGUUGUAUAGAAAGUCUCAUUAGUAAGGAAGCAUAUAUGAAUUUUCUGAGUCAAGACCUAUAGUGACUGUUUGGGGUUUUGUUAGGUUAGGUUAGGUUAAGUUUAGGGUAUCUUCAAACACAUGAUAGCCAGCACCUUAUGGUAUAAAUCAACACAGAAUGACCUCACUUUGUUGUAUGGAAAGUCUCAUUAGUAAGGAAGCAUAGAUGAGUUUUCUGAGUCAAGACCUAUAGUGACUGUUUGGGGUUUUGUUAGGUUAGGUUAGGUUAAGUUUAGGGUAUCUUCAAACACAUGACAGCCAGUGACGUAUGGUAUAAAUCAACACAGAAUGACCUCACUUUGUUGUAUGGAAAGUCUCAUUAGUAAGGAAGCAUAGGCGAGUUUUCUGAGUCUCCUACUCUAACCCUAACCUUACCCUAACCUACCCUAACCUUACCCACCUUUCCACAGCUCCCACUAACACCCUCUACCCCUAUCUUAACCUUCCUAACCUAACCUAAUCCAACAUCCCCCUAACCUAAUCUAACCUCAUUCUGACACACUCCUCUCAGAGCUGGGCAUCGCUAACAGCUCCCACUAACACCCUCUACCCCUAUCCUAACCUCCCUAACCUAACCUAAUCCAACACCUGCUGAUACCACUGCCGGGUUGAAAGAGUUUUGGAGUUAAUCAGUUUUUAUUUCAAUAUGUGAAGAAUCUAUCAGUGAGGCUGUCUGGGCUGAACUGGGCUGGCUCCUCCAUGUCUUAGCGGAAGUUAGCGGAAGUAAUAUUAAAAUGCUAAUCUGUAAAUGAAAUGGAACUUCCGCUAUUGAGGAUUUGCAGACUAAUUAGCGGAAGUACCCAGCACGGACUCCUACCGUAACCUACCCCAACCAUACCCUAAACCUACCCCCUU